GACCAAUAAAAAGCAAAGGAGGUUGUACAAACAGCCUGAACAUGGAACCUGCCAAAGCUCUAUUUGCUAAGGAGAUGGAGAGCCCUGGGGGCAGGAGGACCGGCUGGUAGCCAUGAACAGCACUGAGUUUGUGGGAGAGCACUGGACCAGAGUAAUAUAUUACAGGGCAGGCCUUUUAAGCCAGUUCUUGGAAGAGCUGGACAAUGAAAAAAAUAAUCUACUGCAUUUUAAAUAGUGAAAUGGACACAGACAAACAUGAUGGUUUAGAAUGGCCUUCAAGCUCACUCUCAGACAUCUUUCCCAUAACUGGACUGUACUACUGUUAAAAAUAGCUAUGAUGAAUUGAAAUGACUCUGUACUACUACCUCCUCUUUCUGUGGUUAGUCUUCACAGUUCUAUCACGGAAUACUAAUGCCGUGUAUAAGGACAUGUUCACCAUAACUCUGGCUAGAAGAUCAGAAAUAGGACUUGGGAGACUUUUGCCUCCACUGUUACCUCUGUGGAAACAGUGUGAUCACUAUGCUAUCACAAAUCAAACCAGCCGAUAUUUUCCCUAGGAAGAAUGAUUUGAAGAGCAAAUGUUGCCCUAACAGUGGACCACCUCAUCUGACCCCAGGCCCUAUUGCUUUAUGCAGGGAUGGAGAGCAGAAAGCCAGAAGCUCUCAAAAUGAAGAAAGAUGAGUCUGCUGCCAGUGCUAUGCCAUCCUGGAAAGUAUGGGAAGACUUUGGUAGCCAAUGAUGAAAAAAGGAACAGGGGCAAGCUAGACUGCUCUUGCAGUUGCAGCGUAGUAUGCCCAGGCUACUCAGAUCUAACUGAGAUGUGUUCUGUAUAACGGUGGCUGUCACAAUGGUGAUUCUUGUCAGUGUGGUGAUAUCAUAUACAAUUGUUUGCAGUGAAUAAAGAAACAUUCAGC
rnacentral:lncRNA from 1 species